rnacentral:rRNA from 1 species
UACGGAGGGGGCUAGCGUUGUUCGGAAUUACUGGGCGUAAAGCGCACGUAGGCGGCUUUGUAAGUUAGAGGUGAAAGCCCGGGGCUCAACUCCGGAAUUGCCUUUAAGACUGCAUCGCUUGAACACGGGAGAGGUGAGUGGAAUUCCGAGUGUAGAGGUGAAAUGCGUAGAUAUCAGGAGGAACACCUGUGGUGUAGACAGCUUACUGGACCACUUCUGACGCUGAGACACGAAAGCGUGGGUAGCAAACAGG